CACGUAGGGCGCGAGCGUUGUCCGGAAUUAUUGGGCGUAAAGAGCUCGUAGGCGGCCUGUUGCGUCCGCUGUGAAAGCCCGGGGCUUAACCCCGGGUCUGCAGUGGAUACGGGCAGGCUAGAGGUAGGUAGGGGAGAAUGGAAUUCCCGGUGUAGCGGUGAAAUGCGCAGAUAUCGGGAGGAACACCGGUGGCGAAGGCGGUUCUCUGGGCCUUACC
rnacentral:rRNA from 1 species